rnacentral:rRNA from 1 species
GCAAGGGUAUAAGCCCGCUUAACUGCGAGUGCUACAGCACGAGCAGGUGCGAAAGCAGGUCCUAGUGAUCCUGUGGUCCCGUGUGGAAGGGCCAUAGCUCAACGGAUAAAAGGUACGCUGGGGAUAACAGGCUGAUCGCCUCCGAGCGUCCAUAGCGGCGAGGCGGUUUGGCACCUCGAUGUCGGCUCAUCACAUCCUGGGGCUGAAGCAGGUCCCAAGGGUUUGGCUGUUCGCCAAUUAAAGCGGUACGCGAGCUGGGUUCAGACCGGCGUGAGCCAGGUCGGUCCCUAUCUGCUGUGGGUGUGGGAACUUUGACGGCGAU